rnacentral:misc_RNA from 1 species
AAGUCGUAACAAGGUUUCCGUAGGUGAACCUGCGGAAGGAUCAUUACUGAAGAAAUGGUAGUGGGUUGAGCUGACUCUGAGGAGUAUGUGCUUGCCUCUAUCGAUUUUUCUACCCUCCACUGUGCACCUAUUGUAGGCUUACAAUAACUCUCAAGGUUCCUUUUCCUUGGAUAGAAGGCUAUGCAAAUUCAGGUUUGCUUGCUUUCGAUUUUGUAAGCCUAUGUCUACACAAACUCAUUUUUAGUUUCACGAAUGUACAUUGUUGAUCUUUUUGAUCGAUAAACUAUAUACAACUUUCAGCAACGGAUCUCUUGGCUCUC